GGCGCUAUAGCCAAGUGGUUACGGCGACAGAUUAGAAUCAUAUGUGAUCUGUUCCUCUUUGAGGGCGCAAGUUCGAAUCUUGCUGGCGUCG
rnacentral:tRNA from 1 species